AGUAAACCUUCCGAGAUUUUCAUGCUUCAUAACACAAAUUCAUAAUAGUUCUUCUGUAACACUCCAUUUUGAGGAAAAGCGAAAGGAUUAAUCUCUCCAAUAUUGUUUGGAGACGUGUGAUCUCUCUCUCUUCCAACUGCUUCAAAUCUCGCACAUAUCUCGAUAGACGGCGCUCACUCGAAGCUGGAGGUAUAUAUGAAUUAAGGGAGAAAACAGACAAGUGCAUCGGACCGACAUCUAAAUAAGGCAGACUAACGUAAUUUGUAAUUCUCUUGCAUGCGGAAUGACUUACAUGGCAGCUUUUUCAUAGCGCACAAACAAAGUCGCAAAAUAUUAUUCUAAGUAAAGGUUCUGAGAGGUUCAUAAAACCAACUCCUAGUUCUUCUGCAACACUCCAUUGUGAGGAAAAGCGAAGAGAAAAAUAUCUCCAAUAUGAUUUGAAGAUUACGUCUUCUCUUCCAACUAUCAGAGAAGAAGAUAGGGAAAGGUCUCUCUUCAAAACUUCAUUUUUGCUGACAACUUCUCUCGCAACAAGAGCACGACUUCCAUCUCGGUCUCUCAAUACCAUCUUGUGAUCAAGAGGGAAUCAGCAAACAUGGCAGAACUGGUGGCUGAAGCUUUUCUCACUGUUGCGUUUGAGAAACUAUUUAAACUGUUGGCUUCUCAAGAAUUCAGGAGCUUCUUCCAGGGAAAGAAAUCGAUUGACGAUCAGCUCGGGUUGUUGAAUGAGAAAUUAAAGACAGCUAGUCUGCUGCUUAAUGAUGCUGAAGAUAAGCAGAUCACUGACGACAGAGUCAAAGAAUGGCUCGACGAUCUCAAAGACGUCAUUUUCAGAGCAGAUGACUUGGUGGAGGAGAUCUGUAAUGACUGAGAAAAUUCCAGACCUUAAAUAAUAUAAUUCAUGUAUUUUUAAG